GGAGCGGUAGUUCAGUUGGUUAGAAUGCCGGCCUGUCACGUCGGAGGUCGCGGGUUCGAGUCCCGUCCGCUCCGCCA
rnacentral:tRNA from 2 species